AUCUACCCCGCCAUAGCAAACUCCGAAUACCGAGAAGUGCGAGCAUGGGAGACAGACGGUGGGUGCUAACGUCCAUCGUCAAGAGGGAAACAACCCAGACCGCCAGCUAAGGCCCCCAAUGCGUGGCUAAGUGGAAAACGAGGUGGGAAGGCAUAGACAGCCAGGAGGUUGGCUUAGAAGCAGCCAUCCUUUAAAGAAAGCGUAAUAGCUCACUGGUCGAGUCGUCCUGCGCGGAAGAUGUAACGGGGCUCAAGCCACGAGCCGAAGCUGCGGAUAUGUCGUAAGACAUAUGGUAGGGGAGCGUUCUGUAAGUCUGCGAAGGUGUCUGGUAACGGAUGCUGGAGAUAUCAGAAGUGCGAAUGCUGACAUGAGUAGCGAUAAAGCGGGUGAAAGGCCCGCUCGCCGAAAGCCCAAGGUUUCCUACGCAACGUUCAUCGGCGUAGGGUGAGUCGGCUCCUAAGGCGAGGCCGAAAGGCGUAGUCGAUGGGAAACAGGUCAAUAUUCCUGUACCAGUCCAUGAUGCGAUGGGGGGACGGAGAAGGUUAUAGCAGCCGGGUGUUGGAAGUCCCGGUUUAAGCAGGUAGGCGUGCUGCGUAGGCAAAUCCGCGCGGCUUAGCCGAGAUGUGAUGACGAGGACCCACGUGGUCCGAAGUGCUAGAUACCACGCUUCCAAGAAAAGCCUCUAAGCUUCAGUCAUGGAAUGACCGUACCGCAAACCGACACAGGUGGGCAGGAUGAAAAUUCUCAGGCGCUUGAGAGAACCCAGGAGAAGGAACUCGGCAAAUUGAUACCGUAACUUCGGGAGAAGGUAUGCCCCUCGUACGUGAAGUCCCUCGCGGACGGAGCGGAAAGGGGUCGCAGAGAAUCGGUGGCUGCGACUGUUUAAUAAAAACACAGCACUCUGCAAACACGAAAGUGGACGUAUAGGGUGUGACGCCUGCCCGGUGCCGGAAGGUUAAGUGAUGGGGUUCAAGCUCUUGAUCGAAGCCGCGGUUAACGGCGGCCGUAACUAUAACGUUCCUAAGGUUGCGUAAUUCCUUGUCGGGUAAGUUCCGACCUGCACGAAUGGCGUAACGAUGGCCACACUGUCUCCUCCUGGGACUCAGCGAAGUUGAAAUGUUUGUGAAGAUGCAAUCUCCCCGCGGCUAGAC
rnacentral:rRNA from 1 species